rnacentral:rRNA from 1 species
UACAGAGGUCUCAAGCGUUGUUCGGAUUCAUUGGGCGUAAAGGGUGCGUAGGUGGCGCUGUAAGUCGGGUGUGAAAUUUCGGAGCUUAACUCCGAAACUGCAUUCGAUACUGCGGGGCUUGAGGACUGGAGAGGAGACUGGAAUUCAUGGUGUAGCAGUGAAAUGCGUAGAGAUCAUGAGGAAGACCAGUGGCGAAGGCGGGUCUCUGGACAGUUCCUGACACUGAGGCACGAAGGCCAGGGGAGCAAACGGG